rnacentral:rRNA from 1 species
AGAGUUUGAUCCUGGCUCAGGACGAACGCUGGCGGCGUGCCUAACACAUGCAAGUGGAGCGACGAACCAGGGCUUGCCCUGGGGCCAAGCCGCGAACGGGUGAGUAACACGUGGGUCACCUGCCCCGAUGACCGGGACAACCCGAGGAAACUCGGGCUAAUACCGGAUGUGCCCGCAAGGGUAAAGGAAGCCUCGGCCUC